rnacentral:rRNA from 1 species
AGAGUUUGAUCAUGGCUCAGAACGAACGCUGGCGGCAGGCUUAACACAUGCAAGUCGAACGCACCGCAAGGUGAGUGGCAGACGGGUGAGUAACGCGUGGGAACGUGCCCUUUGGUUCGGAACAACUCCGGGAAACUGGAGCUAAUACCGGAUAAGCCCUUCGGGGGAAAGAUUUAUCGCCAAAGGAUCGGCCCGCGUCUGAUUAGCUUGUUGGUGAGGUAAUGGCUCACCAAGGCGACGAUCAGUAGCUGGUCUGAGAGGAUGAUCAGCCACACUGGGACUGAGACACGGCCCAGACUCCUACGGGAGGCAGCAGUGGGGAAUAUUGGACAAUGGGCGCAAGCCUGAUCCAGCCAUGCCGCGUGAGUGAUGAAGGCCCUAGGGUUGUAAAGCUCUUUCAGCGGGGACGAUAAUGACGGUACCCGCAGAAGAAGCCCCGGCUAACUUCGUGCCAGCAGCCGCGGUAAUACGAAGGGGGCUAGCGUUGCUCGGAAUCACUGGGCGUAAAGGGCGCGUAGGCGGCCAUUCAAGUCAGGGGUGAAAGCCUGUGGCUCAACCACAGAAUUGCCUUUGAUACUGUUUGGCUAGAGACCGGAAGAGGUAAGUGGAACUGCGAGUGUAGAGGUGAAAUUCGUAGAUAUUCGCAAGAACACCAGUGGCGAAGGCGGCUUACUGGUCCGGUUCUGACGCUGAGGCGCGAAAGCGUGGGGAGAAACAGGAUUAGAUACCCNNGUAGUCC